rnacentral:lncRNA from 1 species
GUAGGUGCCUGCUCAUCAGCACUCUCAGUUUCACUUUCCUAAUGGAUGGGAACUGCUACACUUUUCCCUGCCCUCUUCUCCUGUUCUUUUGAUUUCCUUGCAGCCAAAGUCUGCUGUCAAACAGUCUUCUGCGUCCCUGAGCCAGUUGGCUCGCAGGGCAAAGCUUUUCCUCUUAGUGCAAACUCUUGUCUUUCAGCUUCUUGCGUCUCAGCUU